UACGUAGGGUGCGAGCGUUGUCCGGAAUUAUUGGGCGUAAAGAGCUCGUAGGCGGUGUGUCACGUCGGCCGUGAAAACCUGCAGCUUAACUGUGGGCGUGCGGUCGAUACGGGCAUCACUGGAGUUCGGCAGGGGAGACUGGAAUCCUGGUGUAGCGGUGAAAUGACGCAGAUAUCAGGAGGAACACCGGUGGCGAAGGCGGGUCUCUGGGCCGAUACUGACGCUGGAGGAGCGAAAGCGUGGGGAGCAAACAGG
rnacentral:rRNA from 1 species